CCUGGGUGUCCAGUCGGUCAUACAGAGGGCUGGUCCGCAGCUGACGGCCAGUCUGAAAGUCCCAGCGCGGAACCUUGAGUUCGUACAGCAGGGCUGGAAACACACACACAAACUUUAAAAAGGUGCUGGAAACACUACAUCAUGAAUCUGACUGCUGUGAACGAGUCACAAUGGAAACGUAGAGAGUAGUUUUCUGUAAGUUUCUUUGGUUAAAGGACAAAGUACAUUCAAAUAGUUAUCAGAGGAUGUCAUCGUUCCUUUCUCUCAAAACCACACACAUCCUCUUUUCAAGCCGAUACGAGGCUUCUGCAGUGGGCGUUUGUUACAUCAGGAGGGUAUUUUCCAAAGUGAGGGUCUUUGACAUAAAAGAGUUCUCAGACAGCGCGUCCUUGCUGAAUUGCAACGGAAAUAAAGUAAAACAAAGAGAUGUUGUGCGAGAAAACGUUGAAAGAUACCACCUUGUUUGUCGCACCUAGACAUAUCAUCUUCAGCUGAACUUGAGAUUCCUUUUUGCAAGGACGGUGGACUUUGUCUGCAAUCUCUUACACUGGAAUCUUGCUGGGAGUGGAUCUCUUCGUUUACCACGCAAAGGAAGGUUCGGCUGCUCUGCAGGUUGCCAAAGCGCUUGAUGUCCAGGGGCCAGACAUUGGCAGUGGGGUAGCCGUAGGUCAUCCACUCUGCCAGCUCCUCCAGCAAAGGCCAGGCCAGAGGAGUUCAUGCCUGCCAGCACGUAGUAGCCACAGACAGCCGGCAUCUCCCCCAUCAGGCAG